UGCUUUGACUGUGAAUCGAACACAGGGCCUCAAGAUCUUCAGUCUUGCGCUCUCCCAACUGAGCUAUCAAAGC
rnacentral:tRNA from 1 species